rnacentral:rRNA from 1 species
UCGAAACCUGCCCAGCAGAGCGACCCGCGAACACGUUCAACCUCAUGGGAGUUGGGGCGUUGCUCGGUGCCCCGUGCACCKGGCUCGCCCCUCYCCCAGGCCGGGGAGCGCCCACCCGUGGGAUGCUCCACGGCUAAACAACGAACCCCGGCGCGUAACGCGUCAAGGAAUAUGAACUCUAUGUGUGCGCUCUCCUGCUGCCCGGUUAGCCGGGCGUUGGAGUGGCGCCAUGUCUUAACAAUA